CCUACGGGAGGCAGCAGUGGGGAAUUUUGGACAAUGGGCGAAAGCCUGAUCCAGCAAUGCCGCGUGAGUGAAGAAGGCCUUCGGGUUGUAAAGCUCUUUUGUCAGGGAAGAAACGGUGCGGGCUAAUAUCCUGCACUAAUGACGGUACCUGAAGAAUAAGCACCGGCUAACUACGUGCCAGCAGCCGCGGUAAUACGUAGGGUGCAAGCGUUAAUCGGAAUUACUGGGCGUAAAGCGUGCGCAGGCGGUUUUGUAAGUCUGUCGUGAAAUCCCCGGGCUCAACCUGGGAAUUGCGAUGGAGACUGCAAGGCUAGAAUCUGGCAGAGGGGGGUAGAAUUCCACGUGUAGCAGUGAAAUGCGUAGAGAUGUGGAGGAACACCGAUGGCGAAGGCAGCCCCCUGGGUCAAGAUUGACGCUCAUGCACGAAAGCGUGGGGAGCAAACAGGAUUAGAUACCCUGGUAGUCCACGCCCUAAACGAUGUCUACUAGUUGUCGGGUUUUAAUUAACUUGGUAACGCAGCUAACGCGUGAAGUAGACCGCCUGGGGAUACGGUCGCAAGAUUAAAACNCAAAGGAAUUGACGG
rnacentral:rRNA from 1 species